rnacentral:piRNA from 1 species
UGGUCACUUUGUGUGUUGACACCAUUGU